rnacentral:rRNA from 1 species
UACGUAGGGGGCAAGCGUUGUCCAGAUUUAUUGGGCGUAAAGCGCUCGCAGGUGGUUCGAUGCGUCGUGCGUGAAAGACCCCGGCUCAACUGGGGGGUGUCGUGCGAUACGGUCGGACUGGAGGCCAGUAGGGGGAUGCGGAAUUCCGGGUGUAGUGGUGGAAUGCGUAGAGAUCCGGAGGAACACCAGCGGCGAAGGCGGCAUCCUGGACUGGUCCUGACACUCAUGAGCGAAAGCGUGGGGAGCGAUCCGG